rnacentral:rRNA from 1 species
UACGAGGGGUGCAAGCGUUGCUCGGAAUUAUUGGGCGUAAAGGGUGUGUAGGUGGUCUUAUUUGUCAGGGGUGAAAGCCUUGGGCUUAACUCAAGAAGUGCCCCUGAAACGGUAAGACUAGAGUCUUGGAGAGGGUCGUGGAAUUCCCGGUGUAGCGGUGAAAUGCGCAGAUAUCGGGAGGAACACCAGUAGCGAAGGCGGCACUCUGGGCCGGUACUGACGCUGAGGAGCGAAAGCGUGGGGAGCGAACAGG